rnacentral:rRNA from 1 species
UACGGAGGAUGCGAGCGUUAUCCGGAUUUAUUGGGUUUAAAGGGUGCGUAGGCGGCUUUUUAGGUCAGCGGUGAAAUUUUGCAGCUUAACUGUAACAGUGCCGUUGAUACUGGGGAGCUAGGAUUUGGUUGCUGUGGGUGGAAUGUGUGGUGUAGCGGUGAAAUGCUUAGAGAUCACACAGAAUAUCGAUUGCGAAGGCAGCUCACAAAGCCAAGAUUGACGCUGAGGCACGAAAGUGUGGGGAUCAAACAGGAUUA